GACGAACCGUGCGAACGUUGUUCGGAAUCACUGGGCUUAAAGGGUGCGUAGGUGGGCAGGUAAGUCAGUGGUGAAAUCUCCGGGCUUAACCCGGAAACUGCCAUUGAUACUAUCUGUCUUGAAUACCGUGGAGGUAAGCGGAAUAUGUCAUGUAGCGGUGAAAUGCUUAGAUAUGACAUAGAACACCAAUUGCGAAGGCAGCUUACUACCCGAAUAUUGACACUGAGGCACGAAAGCGUGGGGAUCAAACAGG
rnacentral:rRNA from 1 species